GACGAACGCUGGCGGCGUGCUUAACACAUGCAAGUCGAACGGAAAGGCCCCCUUGUGGGGUACUCGAGUGGCGAACGGGUGAGUAACACGUGAGUAACCUACCCUUGACUUUGGGAUAACUUCAGGAAACUGGGGCUAAUACCGGAUAGGAGCUCCUGCUGCAUGGUGGGGGUUGGAAAGUUUCGGCGGUUGGGGAUGGACUCGCGGCUUAUCAGCUUGUUGGUGGGGUAGUGGCUCACCAAGGCUUUGACGGGUAGCCGGCCUGAGAGGGUGACCGGCCACAUUGGGACUGAGAUACGGCCCAGACUCCUACGGGAGGCAGCAGUGGGGAAUAUUGCACAAUGGGCAGAAGCCUGAUGCAGCAACGCCGCGUGCGGGAUGACGGCCUUCGGGUUGUAAACCGCUUUCGCCUGUGACGAAGCGUGAGUGACGGUAAUGGGUAAAGAAGCACCGGCUAACUACGUG
rnacentral:rRNA from 1 species